AUGGCACUGGCCGUCCAAGCGUGUGGAACUGGAAGGACUGUCCAUCAUGGCGGCACAGCUCAUCUCGGAGGAGAAAAGACCAAGGUCCUGCAGGUUUCAAGUGCUACAUAUAGGAGGAGGCAGGAGUGGCUGCAAUCUUGCUACGAAAUGACACUUAUGGAGCUUCUUUACCUAACAUGGCCAAGAAGUCCGCAAAAUCCAGUGAGCAUAGAGUAUAGCCGGUUGGAUACAUAUCUGCAGAAUGCAUGUAGUGUGUGUGUCAGAUAUACAGUGGAAAAACACCACAAUGCAAGUGUCAGAUCCUGUUCUUGA
rnacentral:rRNA from 1 species